AUACCAGAAACCAAUUUGGGGGAAAUUAUUACCUUUACCAAUUCACGUAGUUUGGCAGAAUGAGUAAGACCAUUCUGAGUGGGCUAUCUUGCUCAGUGUUGUUCACUACUAUCUUGUCACCUACACU
ensembl:snoRNA Gm24728 predicted gene, 24728